UACGUAGGGAGCAAGCGUUGUCCGGAAUCAUUGGGCGUAAAGCGCGCGUAGGUGGCUUCGUCAGUCCGUUGUGAAAGUCAAAGGCUCAACCUUUGAAAGCCGAUGGAUACUGCGGAGCUAGAGUACGGAAGAGGCGAGUGGAAUUCCUGGUGUAGCGGUGGAAUGCGCAGAUAUCAGGAGGAACACCAAUAGCGAAGGCAGCUCGCUGGGACGUUACUGACACUGAGGCGCGAAAGCGUGGGGAGCGAACAGG
rnacentral:rRNA from 1 species